rnacentral:rRNA from 1 species
CGGGGUGAGUAACGCGUGGAGAACCUGCCGUAUACUGGGGGAUAACACUUAGAAAUAGGUGCUAAUACCGCAUAAGCGCACAGCUUCGCAUGAAGCAGUGUGAAAAACUCCGGUGGUAUACGAUGGAUCCGCGUCUGAUUAGCUGGUUGGCGGGGUAAAGGCCCACCAAGGCGACGAUCAGUAGCCGGCCUGAGAGGGCGGACGGCCACAUUGGGACUGAGACACGGCCCAGACUCCUACGGGAGGCAGCAG